rnacentral:rRNA from 1 species
GUAGGUGGCAAGCGUUGUCCGGAAUUAUUGGGCGUAAAGCGCGCGCAGGCGGUCCUUUAAGUCUGAUGUGAAAGCCCACGGCUCAACCGUGGAGGGUCAUUGGAAACUGGGGGACUUGAGUACAGAAGAGGAGAGCGGAAUUCCAAGUGUAGCGGUGAAAUGCGUAGAGAUUUGGAGGAACACCAGUGGCGAAGGCGGCUUUCUGGUCUGUAACUGACGCUGAGGCGCGAAAGCGUGGGGAGCAAACAGGGAUUAGAUACCCUGGUAGUCCACGCCGUAAACGAUGAGUGCUAAGUGUUAGGGGGUUUCCGCCCCCUUAGUGCUGCAGCUAACGCAUUAAGCACUCCGCCUGGGGAGUACGGCCGCAAGGCUG